rnacentral:rRNA from 1 species
GUGCCAGCAGCCGCGGUAAUACGGAGGGGGUUAGCGUUGUUCGGAAUUACUGGGCGUAAAGCGCACGUAGGCGGACUAGUCAGUCAGAGGUGAAAUCCCAGGGCUCAACCCUGGAACUGCCUUUGAUACUGCUAGUCUUGAGUUCGAGAGAGGUAAGUGGAAUUCCGAGUGUAGAGGUGAAAUUCGUAGAUAUUCGGAGGAACACCAGUGGCGAAGGCGGCUUACUGGCUCGAUACUGACGCUGAGGUGCGAAAGUGUGGGGAGCAAACAGGAUUAGAUACCCUGGUAGUCCACACCGUAAACGAUGAAUGCCAGACGUCGGGUAGCAUGCUAUUCGGUGUCACACCUAACGGAUUAAGCAUUCCGCCUGGGGAGUACGGUCGCAAGAUUAAAACUCAAAGGAAUUGACGG